GACGAACGCUGGCGGCGUGCCUAAUACAUGCAAGUAGAACGCUGAAGGAGGAGCUUGCUUCUCUAGAUGAGUUGCGAACGGGUGAGUAACGCGUAGGUAACCUGCCUGGUAGCGGGGGAUAACUAUUGGAAACGAUAGCUAAUACCGCAUAAUAGUAGAUGUUGCAUGACAUUUGCUUAAAAGGUGCAAUUGCAUCACUACCAGAUGGACCUGCGUUGUAUUAGCUAGUUGGUGAGGUAACGGCUCACCAAGGCGACGAUACAUAGCCGACCUGAGAGGGUGAUCGGCCACACUGGGACUGAGACACGGCCCAGACUCCUACGGGAGGCAGCAGUAGGGAAUCUUCGGCAAUGGACGGAAGUCUGACCGAGCAACGCCGCGUGAGUGAAGAAGGUUUUCGGAUCGUAAAGCUCUGUUGUAAGAGAAGAACGAGUGUGAGAGUGGAAAGUUCACACUGUGACG
rnacentral:rRNA from 1 species